GCGAGCUGGGCUUGCCCAACGUGCAGCUGUUUCCGAGGGGUUUCCCCACGUCGUUACGUCAGCAACGCAGCGCGGGCAAGCUAAUGAAGAAUUAGGUCCACAAGCUAAACGGAACAGAAGAGUGUUGGCAAGGGAACUGUGCAGUCAGGAAGAAGAGCAAGGAAAAAAGGAGUACAUAACAGGGAGCUGUGAAUAAUCAUUGAUACAAGCUGAAGAAUCAGCUGGAACAGAACAACCUGCAAAACUGGUCCCUUAACACCAGAUUUUUUACAAGUGUUUAGGUGCAGAGUGAUGUAGGUAGGUACCUGACAUGCCACAGUGGUUAACUCCCAUUGAAGUCCUCAUGAAAAUCCCAUUAAGGGUCUAUCUGUAUGAUUAGAUGACUAAAUGUGUUUAAAAAAAUCAGACAUUAAUGCUUAGGGGCUUAGAUAAUGUUGAUUUUGUAGAAAAUGCUAACAUAAAUAUGGCUUUUGUUUCUUAAAUUUUACAUCAUCAUAAUCAUCUUUGAUUAAUUGUUGCCUGGGAAACCUUUUGAAUGUCUGUUUGCCUCUGACAUUGGAAAUAUUUCCAGCUUUUCAGUUCACUGAGAAGUCUUACUGUGAUUAUGAGUCUUUGUUUGGGAUUUGCUGAACAUUUCUGUAUGAUUUAUAGUUAAAAGAAUGAUGAUUCUUCUCUCACA